rnacentral:rRNA from 1 species
UACGUAGGGGGCUAGCGUUGUCCGGAAUCAUUGGGCGUAAAGCGCGUGUAGGCGGUUCGGUAAGUCCGCUGUGAAAGUCGGGGGCCCAACCCUCGAAAGCCGGUGGAUACUGUCGGGCUAGAGUACGGAAGAGGCGAGUGGAAUUCCUGGUGUAGCGGUGAAAUGCGCAGAUAUCAGGAAGAACACCCGUGGCGAAGGCGGCUCUCUGGGACGGUACUGACGCUGAGACGCGAAAGCGUGGGGAGCGAACAGG